rnacentral:rRNA from 1 species
UAAGGAAUAUUGGACAAUGGAGGCAACUCUGAUCCAGCCAUGCCGCGUGAAGGAAUAAGGCCCUAUGGGUUGUAAACUUCUUUUAGACGGGACAAAACCACUUUACGUGUAAAGGGUUGAUGGUACUGUCAGAAUAAGCAUCGGCUAACUUCGUGCCAGCAGCCGCGGUAAUACGAAGGAUGCAAGCGUUAUCCGGAAUUAUUGGGUUUAAAGGGUGCGUAGGCGGACUAAUAAGUCAGUGGUGAAAGCCUGCAGCUUAACUGCAGAAUUGCCAUUGAUACUGUUAGCCUUGAGUACAGUUGAGGUAGGCGGAAUGUCUCAUGUUGCGGUGAAAUGCUUAGAUAUGACACAGAACACCGAUUGCGAAGGCAGCUUGCUAAGCUGUAACUGACGCUGAGGCCCGAAAGCGUGGGGAGCAAACA